rnacentral:snoRNA from 1 species
AACCAUGGUGGGGGCAUUGAAUGAGUAACAUCUUGAACCUUUCCCAUGCCUCAUGGAACGGUUCGCUCUCAGCUUGCGAGAAAGUUGCAAUUUUCCAUCUUAACU